CAGCUGAAUGACCAGUACCUGGAGCUGCUAGAGAAGCAGAGGCUGUACUUCAAGACUGUGAAGGAGUUCAAGGAGGAGGGCCACAGGAACGAGGUGCUGCUGUACAAGGUGGGAGCCAAGGCCUCCUGAGAGCCCCCGACAUCAUCAGCGCACGGCCGGGGUUCUCUAAAUGCCACAUACUGACAACAAGGCUGUGAAAUGGUUCUGAACGCUGCAUAGAGAGAUGCUGGUGCAGUGACCUCAACACCCUGGACAUGUUCUUGCUCCG
rnacentral:lncRNA from 1 species